CCUACGGGUGGCAGCAGUGAGGAAUAUUGGUCAAUGGGCGGGAGCCUGAACCAGCCAAGUCGCGUGAGGGAAGACGGCCCUAUGGAUUGUAAACUUCUUUUGUAGGGGAAUAAAGGCGUCCACGGGUGGGUGUCUGAGUGUACCCGACGAAUAAGGAUCGGCUAACUCCGUGCCAGCAGCCGCGGUAAUACGGAGGAUUCGAGCGUUAUCCGGAUUUAUUGGGUUUAAGGGGUGCGUAGGCGGAGAGUAAAGUUAGCGGUAAAAAUGCGGUGCUCAACGCCGUACUGCCGUUGAAACUGGCAGGCUUGAGAGUAGGAGAGGUAUGCGGAAUGCGUGGUGUAGCGGUGAAAUGCAUAGAGAUCACGCAGAACUCCGAUUGCGAAGGCAGCAUACCGGCGCCCUACUGACGCUGAGGCACGAAAGCGUGGGUAGCGAACAGGAUUAGAUACCCUUGUAGUC
rnacentral:rRNA from 1 species